AUGUUGCGGCCAGAAAUCUGUGCAUCGACGGAUGAUCUGAGCACGGAGGGAGCGGUGAGGAAUUGCUUACGGAGGAGUAGUGUGGUUUCGGAUUGGAGGAAUUUGUCGUCCAGAUUUAUGAUUCAUGUUGCAGCGGUGAUGCCAUCCUCUAGCAGCAGUUACAUUUUCGCAGUUCAGCUUCGGAGGGUUCUUCACUUUUAUUUUUUUGUUGAUUUGUUGCAAGGUUGA